rnacentral:rRNA from 1 species
UUACGGUCAAAUCACAAUGAACACACCGGUUCUCGUUUGAUCACCGAAGUUAAGCAUCGUAGAGGCAGGUUAGCACUUAGAUGAGGGACCGCU